GACGAACGCUGGCGGCGUGCUUAACACAUGCAAGUCGAACGGAAAGGCCCUGCUUUUGUGGGGUGCUCGAGUGGCGAACGGGUGAGUAACACGUGAGUAACCUGCCCUUGACUUUGGGAUAACUUCAGGAAACUGGGGCUAAUACCGGAUAGGAGCUCCUGCUGCAUGGUGGGGGUUGGAAAGUUUCGGCAGUUGGGGAUGGACUCGCGGCUUAUCAGCUUGUUGGUGGGGUAGUGGCUUACCAAGGCUUUGACGGGUAGCCGGCCUGAGAGGGUGAGCGGCCACAUUGGGACUGAGAUACGGCCCAGACUACUACGGGAGGCAGCAGUGGGGAAUAGUGCACAAUGGGCGGAAGCCUGAUGAAGCAACGCCGCGUGCGGGAUGACGGCCUUCGGGUUGUAAACCGCUUUCGCCUGUGACGAAGCGUGAGUGACGGUAAUGGGUAAAGAAGCACCGGCUAACUACGUG
rnacentral:rRNA from 1 species